rnacentral:pre_miRNA from 1 species
GUGCCUGGCUCCCUGUAUGCCACCUGCAAAGCUCAUCAAAAAGUUGGUGGCGGCCUCCGCAGGUGGCAUGCGAGGAGCCAUGCAU